rnacentral:rRNA from 1 species
CGACGGAAUCCUUCGGGAGGAAGAUGUAUAGACUUAGUGGCGGACGGGUGAGUAACGCGUGGGUAACCUGCCUUGUACUGGGGGACAACAGUUGGAAACGACUGCUAAUACCGCAUAAGCGCACAGCUUCGCAUGAAGCAGUGUGAAAAACUCCGGUGGUACAAGAUGGACCCGCGUCUGAUUAGCUGGUUGGUGAGGUAACGGCCCACCAAGGCUGCGAUCGGUAGGGGUUCUGAGAGGAAGGCCCCACAAUGGGACUGAGACACGGCCCAUACUCC